rnacentral:rRNA from 1 species
CAAUAGCGUAUAUUAAAGUUGUUGCGGUAAAAAAGCUCGUAGUUGGAUUUCUACCGAAGAUAGCCGGUCGGGUCUUCGACCUUGUAUCUGGUUUUGUCUUUGGUAUCCUCAUAGGGAACGUUUCUGCGCUUUAUUGCGUGGUGCGGUAUCUAUGACUUUACUUUGAGGAAAUUAGAGUGUUCACGGCAGGCAAACGCCUUGAAUAUAUUAGCAUGGAAUAAUAACAUAGGAUCUUCGUCCUAUUUUGUUGGUUUCUAGGGCUAAGAUAAUGAUUAAUAGGGAUAAUUGGGGGCAUCUGUAUCAACGCGUCAGAGGUGGAAUUCUUGGAUUGCGUUGCGACAAACUACUGCGAAAGCAUUUGCCAAGGAUGUUUUCAUUGA